AGCGAACGCUGGCGGCAGGCCUAACACAUGCAAGUCGAACGAACCUUUCGGGGUUAGUGGCGGACGGGUGAGUAACACGUGGGAACGUGCCUUUAGGUUCGGAAUAACUCAGGGAAACUUGUGCUAAUACCGAAUGUGCCCUUCGGGGGAAAGAUUUAUCGCCUUUAGAGCGGCCGGCGUCUGAUUAGCUAGUUGGUUGAGGUAAUGGCUCACCAAGGCGACGAUCAGUAGCUGGUAUGAGAGGAUGAUCAGCCACAUUGGGACUGAGACACGGCCCAAACUCCUACGGGAGGCAGCAGUGGGGAAUCUUGCGCAAUGGGCGAAAGCCUGACGCAGCCAUGCCGCGUGAAUGAUGAAGGUCUUAGGAUUGUAAAAUUCUUUCACCGGGGACGAUAAUGACGGUACCCGGAGAAGAAGCCCCGGCUAACUUCGUG
rnacentral:rRNA from 1 species